rfam:Trichobilharzia regenti genome assembly, scaffold: TRE_scaffold0001707
AUCUAACUGACGAGUCCCAAAUAGGACGAAGUGCGCAUCCUGGUU